rnacentral:rRNA from 1 species
AUUGAACGCUGGCGGCAGGCCUAACACAUGCAAGUCGAACGAGUGGCGGACGGGUGAGUAAUGUCUGGGACACUGCCUGAUGGAGGGGGAUAAAUACUGGAAACGAUAGCUAAUAACGCAUACCAUCAGAUGUGCCCCGAUGGGUUUAGCUUGUUGGGGGGGUAACGUAUCACCAGGGCGACGAUCCCUAGCUGGUCUGAGAGGAUGACCAGCAACACUGGAACUGAGACACGGGCCAGACUCCGACGGUAGGAAGCAGUGGGGAAUAUUGAACAAUGGGAGAAAGCCUGAUGCAGCCAUGCCGCGUGUGGGAAGAAGGCCUUCGGGUUUUAAAGUACUUUCAGCGGGGAGGCGUUACCCGCAGAAGAAGCACCGGCUAACUCCGUGCCAGGAGCCGCGGUAAUAC